GUAACAAGGUCUCCGUUGGUGAACCAGCGGAGGGAUCAUUACCGAGUUUACAACUCCCAAACCCCUGUGAACAUACCUUAUGUUGCCUCGGCGGAUCAGCCCGCGCCCCGUAAAAAGGGACGGCCCGCCGCAGGAACCCUAAACUCUGUUUUUAGUGGAACUUCUGAGUAUAAAAAACAAAUAAAUCAAAACUUUCAACAACGGAUCUCUUGGUUCUGGCAUCGAUGAAGAACGCAGCAAAAUGCGAUAAGUAAUGUGAAUUGCAGAAUUCAGUGAAUCAUCGAAUCUUUGAACGCACAUUGCGCCCGCCAGUAUUCUGGCGGGCAUGCCUGUUCGAGCGUCAUUUCAACCCUCAAGCCCAGCUUGGUGUUGGGAGCUGCAGUCCUGCUGCACUCCCCAAAUACAUUGGCGGUCACGUCGAGCUUCCAUAGCGUAGUAAUUUACACAUCGUUACUGGUAAUCGUCGCGGCCACGCCGUUAAACCCCAACUUCUGAAUGUUGACCUCGGAUCAGGUAGGAAUACCCGCUGAACUUAAGCAUAUCA
rnacentral:rRNA from 1 species